rnacentral:tRNA from 1 species
GGCUCUGAAGUAUAUAUUACGUUGAAUUGCAAAUUCAAAGAAGUAGCUUAAAUGUUGCCAGGGCUU